rnacentral:rRNA from 1 species
AUGAACGCUGGCGGCGUGCUUAACACAUGCAAGUCGUGCGCGAAGGAGGCUUCGGUCUCUGGAGAGCGGCGAACGGGUGAGUAACACGUGGGUAAUCUACCUGGGAGCGGGGGAUAACCUGGGGAAACUCGGGCUAAUACCGCAUACGUUGGUUGGGUUAUGACUUGACCAAGAAAGCUGGCCUCUGCUUGCAAGCUAGCGCUCCUGGAGGAGCCCGCGGCUGAUUAGCUAGUUGGUGAGGUAAUGGCUCACCAAGGCAUCGAUCAGUAGCCGGCCUGAGAGGGUGAUCGGCCACACUGGGACUGAGACACGGCCCAGACUCCUACGGGAGGCAGCAGUGGGGAAUCUUGCGCAAUGGGCGAAAGCCUGACGCAGCGACGCCGCGUGAGGGAUGACGGCCUUCGGGUUGUAAACCGUCUUUCAGCUCCGACGAA